UGAAGGUCCUCUUGGUAGUGUACGCUACUGUUAAGAUAUACGAGACCAAUAGAGUGUUGCGACAGUUUGAAGUCUAAAAAUUAAUUAUCGUAGAACCUCAAGACCUUGAUGAUCUACAUCCUAUCAACUUGUAGCGGCCAAAUGAGAAUUGGCUGGUAUUCCACUCCUAACAUAUCAAUAUGUGGAAUAAUCUGUAUGAUUUCUUACAUACUCGCAAACUUAUUAUCAUUCCUGAGUUAGCAUACAAUCUGGAGUACAUGUUAUGGUUUAGG
rnacentral:lncRNA from 1 species